rnacentral:rRNA from 1 species
CAGCAGCCGCGGGAAUACGGAGGGAGCUAGCGUUGUUCGGAAUUACUGGGCGUAAAGCGCGCGUAGGCGGUUACUCAAGUCAGAGGUGAAAGCCCGGGGCUCAACCCCGGAACUGCCUUUGAAACUAGGUGACUAGAAUCUUGGAGAGGUCAGUGGAAUUCCGAGUGUAGAGGUGAAAUUCGUAGAUAUUCGGAAGAACACCAGUGGCGAAGGCGACUGACUGGACAAGUAUUGACGCUGAGGUGCGAAAGCGUGGGGAGCAAACAGGAUUAGAUACCCGAGUAGUCCCUGUCUCUUAUAA